rnacentral:lncRNA from 10 species
AAAAAUUUAUUUUUCUUUUUUGAUUUAUAAAAUUAUUUUGUGUGAGUUACUACAAAUGGGAGAGGAAGAUAACAUUGGGCCUGAACAAAUGAACAGAUGCGGUUGGCCAGGUGCCUCAGCCAUCAAUGGGUGAAGAAAGAAAUCUUUCCUCCCCUAUAGUUUCUGGUACCCAUUGAAGGACAGCUGAGACACCCGACUUACUCUGGAGCUAGCAGAUGAAACCCUGGGACAACUGACAAAAGCCAGCAAAAGAUAAGGAUUCUUAUCAAGGAAGAAGUUGUACUCUGAAGUUUCCUUAUCUGCCUAAAAUCUGGACACACCAAAGAAGAAAACAAUCACCCCUGAUCCCUUCCCUGAGUUUUCAUUAACUCAACUCAUAUUGCAGGAAGAAAGACUGAAGUCCUUCAACGCACCUGAGAAGACUUUUGUCACAAACCAUUGUCUGCUUGGUGGGCUCAACAGACUUUGUCCCGGGCCAUUCUUUGGCAUCAUGAACAGGAUAACCAGUCACUCUGCUCUUCUGGAAGCUGCAGUCAAGGAAACUCAGGAUGUGACAAACUGGCAGAAGGGAAAUAAAUUCUUACCAGCUGGACUCUCAGCCUCUAUUUCUGCAGAAUCCAGUUGAGUGGAUGCUAAAAAUCAGUUUGUCUCUUUUUCCCCUCCAAAAUAUUGGUGUAAUGGGAUAAAAAGAUUUAGGUGACAAGUCUUGGGUGUAGUGUCUCUGGUGUACUUUUUGGUAUGAAUAUUCAUGUUGUUUGAUCCCUUUCCUUCCAGAAAUAGUCUUUGUUUUUGAUUGUUUGUUUGUUGUUCUGUCACAAAGAGGGGUACCAUGGGUAGAACAUAGGUCUCAUAUCUCUAUUAGCUGGUUGUUUUAGCAGGAUGUGCGGACUGGUAAGUUUUGUGGUUCUGAUCACAACAGCAUCUAUUUAGAUAAACUUUCCUGUAGGUCUCCCAAAUAAAAACUGUAUGAGGUUCCCCUCUCAUCUUGUUUCAUGUCUUUGAGAGCUUUAUUUAAGAUCUAGUAGCAACAGUCUCUCUUGGUCUCUGCCAUCUAGGAGGCAUGAUUUUUGGGUCAUAUCCAGUGAUCAGUUGGAAAAUGUUGGAAACCCCUGAGAUUUUAAGCAGUACACUUCUUGUUCCAAGCAUGUCAAGCUGGCGUAAGGGGCUUUUGUUGUCUCAAUCAUUUGUUGCCUGGUUAGUCUUGGGAAAGUACAAUCCCAGGAGGGCCUACCUAGAGUCAUGGAUUAAUGGGUCUGUGAAUGGCAGCUUUCUACAGAUUUGUGGAACACUGAAGGUACUGUACACAGAAACACCAUCCUAAACUGUCUGUGGCAACACGAGUCAUUUUCUAUCCUGGCCUAUACCUGGGAGUGAAUUUUUUUGGAUCAUGGAGACUGCCUCUUUCAUGUCCUCUCCAGAAAAGAAAAACACUUAUUUUAAACCUGAAAAAUUACUUCCUGGGAUUUCCUUAAAGAAGCUUAAUUGGACUGAGUUGCUAUUGGAAUAAGCACACCAUAAGAAAUUCUAGUCAUUAGUGGCCAAAAGAUGGAUUCUUUAAAUUAGAAAGACCCUGAAAUUUAAAAAAAAGUUUUCAGAGCUCCUCAUUCUAAACAGUUGCCUUGUGGGAAGAUCAGAUUAAAAGAAAGACACAUAAUAGUGUCAUAGGAAGCCUUAAAAAUUAUCUUGAUGAAAUUAAAAAACAAAAAUUUGACCUAAAGCAAAGUUAAAAUUAUUUGUAACCUCAAACUGCCUGAUUUGGACCCCUGUGAAAUUUACAGUGAUGGCUUCUUUACCUUGUAGUCUAGUAGUUAAAAUUCUAUGAUUUCACUCUAACAACCUUAGGUUUGAUGCUUGGUUAGAUAACCAGUCCCUUUUAGUUUGAUACUUGCGUGAAGCUUAACUUUGGGGGUACCCAUUUGUUAUCCAUUCUUUUCCCUUCUAUGGACAAGUGUUGAUUUUCUGCCUUCUUCCAUCUGUGGGGACAUCUGGGCUUUUGGACUUUUGUCUAUAGAUGGUCAGCUGAGAAGCUGAGAGCCUAGAGUAUAUGGAGACAGAUAUGGGUUGUACCCCAUUUGUAGCUAAUGAACCUUUCCUUUCUUUCAGCUGUCUUUGGCGUAGUUUUGGAUUUUGUGAGGUCUGCUUUGCACCUCUUUGGAGAUGACCUGUGUGUCCUUGGUUAAGUCAUAAUUUUGGUUAAGCUCUAUUCAUUCUGGUGAGUUACUUGGAGGGUACUUUUGGUUAAAAACAAAAACAAAAAAAGCUCAAAAGCCAAAAAUAUUGUCGAUUUGUCCUGGCUAAGAUUUGAUAAUAAGAGAUUUGAGGGAAGUUUUCUUUUUUUAAAGAGCUCUGUGGUCAGUAAGCGACUUAUUAAAAGCUGAUAUUCAAGAGUAUUUCUUUUUUAAAAUAACUCUCUGCUUUUUCUAUUUUGUAUUCUGUUUAUGGGAAGUUUUUUCAGUGAAUCAAAACCUCUUUUAAAAAGUUAUAUGCUUGCUGCUUCCAUUUACUUCCUUUCUGUGGGUAUGAUUUUUGCUAAAGAAAAAAUAAAACUUCAUUGACCUUUUACAAAGCUUAAAAAUCUCCCCAAAUUGCCUCUUAUGAGAAAAUUUCUCCCAUUUACUUUACUCCUCCUCCUGCAGUGCUUAUCUUUGAUAACACAUGAAAGAAUCUGGAAGGGACUUGUAAUGAUCCUGAGACCUCUUGAGGAACACAGAAGAAGGCACCACAAUCCUCAUUUUGGGGUCUUCUGUCUUCCUUGUGCAGUCUCAAGAGCAUGAACAGGUUACUCUUAGGUCUAAAGCUCUGCUGUCUUUUACACGGAACUCUUUUAUAUCUUUGGCUUUUAGAAACACACAUGUGCACCUGUGUAUGUCAUAUGUUGUGUCUGCAUGUACAUAUAUGUUUGUACAUGUGUUUGUAUAUUGGCUACGUGGUAACACACUAACAUAAAUAAAUGAGUACUCAUAAAUUAACUAGCCCGCUUUUCAAGUUCAUGUGGCUUUAGUAGUUUUUGGUAAAUAAAGCUAAUUUUAAAAUUGUUGGCAAAAUAGAAAUGUCUUCAGAGUUUUAGAUAUUUUUGUCUGGGUCUACUCAUCAGACUAAUUUAUACUAUUUAUGAUAGAUGUUUUCAGGUCACAAAGCUGUUGCUUCUGUGAUAUUUUUGUGCUUGUUUGAUCUGUCUAUGAGUUUAUAUUUUUGGUUUUGAGGCUUUAAAUUCUAAGGUCUAGACAAUUGGCCAUGGUCAGGCACAGGGACACAUGUGUGUCCACAGUGCCUAUGCCUCAUCCUCCCUGGCCCAUCUAUGCUUCCUGGCCAUGCUGGGAGGGGUCAGAUCCUCCAGGCAUUGUCUUCACAGGUCUGUCUUUUGUCCUGGGCUCUGCAUCUGAUACAUACCAAUUAAAAUUGCUUUCUUUCUAUAUUUCUUAUUGUAAGUUAGGUUUACUAUGUAAUUUAAACAAGUAGAUAUAAGAGAAACACUUCUGUAUGCAAAGUAUAUAAAGAAAAUAGGAUGUGUUUUUGGUAAGGAAGGUUAUAAAGAAGGUGUGAGAAUAUGACUUUUGUUAAAGAAAAAGUAGUUUUGUUUAGUUUAAAGAUUUUUAAAUGUUGUUUUAAAUUGAAGAAAUAAAAAAUGAGAAUUGAUAAAACUAAAUGGAAAAAGAAUGUUGGGAAAAGAAAGAAUAGGAAAAAAUUUAAGAGGUUAUAAAAGGUUUAUCACAAUCUUAUGUGGCCAAAGCUGAAUGAGAUUAGAUAAAUCUAUUUAUAAGGUUUUAUUAAAAUUAGGUUUCAUAUUAAUAAUACAUUGAUACAAGGGUAAAGUUGAGAGGGAGGUAAAGAGAGAGGAAGAAAGUCUCAUAUUGUCUUUAUUAGGGCUUUUGACUAUUUGGAAAACUGAGUCUCCUUUCUCUCUAAGAGUAAAGGUUUUUGCUUUUUGAAAUUUUUGAAUUAUUACUUUGGCUAAAUUAAUUAAUCUUUUAUAGUGACCUGUGAUCCUAUUUUGAUUGAGUGUUUUAAGCGUCCCUUAUUUUGAUAUUAAGUGUUUUAAACCUUUGAUAUUUGACAAACUUCCCAAAAUCAAAUAACAAAUUUUAAAUCUAUCUUUUUGACCUUAAACAGAUUUUUGGAUGUUAGGACCCUUGGAAGUCCAAAUGAGAACCCUGAAAGUCUAAGGGAGACAUAUUAGGCUUCUUUCAUAUGUUAAAAUUAUACUGUCAUUAUUGUCAAAUAAGAAAUGGUGUUUAUUUGUAUGGAUGUUAUUAAUAUGUGUUCCAAAAUUGUAUGGAAUUCCUAGAAAUCUGAUAUGUCUUGGUAUAUUAAGUAAAUUGCCUUAUCCUGAUGUUUUUUCUUCUAAAAGCUCUUUGCGAAUUCUAACGUGUUUUACCUUCAAGAAAAUUCAUGGAAAGAUCCAUGAGAAGUACUCUUAAAUACAGGUUUCAAAUAACACUGGAUCAUAUAAUUGGGCUAAAUAAAAACUUCCAGAACUCUAAUAAAAUAAGCCUAAUUGAUUCAUGAAGAUUGCUAACUCAACAUUAAGAAGAACAAGAAUUAAUUACACAGGACUGAACUGAUGGCAGUCAUAAAUGAUUUUUAAUGACUUUUUGUUUGAAACAUUGCGGAUUCUUUUUAUGUUUUCUUUUCCAGAGUCAAGAUUUUUUUUUCUUUUGAGUUAUGUGUAGCUUUCAGCAAUUGGGUAAAGUAUACUUUUGUGAGCAAAAUUGAAACAUUUACCUUUCCCUCUACCUGAUUUCUCCAGAAUUUGGAAACUGUUUAUGAGUAUUCUUAUCUUAUGGCAAUAUAAUUAUUUGCAUAAGUUAGAUAAGAAUAUGUUUUAUUUUGCAACAGGACACAAUCAGAAAUGCUGCUUAUUUUAUCAAGGUUUUGACUGGAAUGACAUAUUUUCAGAUAUGUCCAGACUGCUUUGAAGAAUUGAGGUUGACUUUAUUGAACUGAUGAAAAGCCCUUUGGAAAGGCUGACCUGGUACUUUAUCUACAUGGUUCCUUUUCAAUGUUUCUGACCUUGUGAUAUUAAUUAACGAAGAACAUAUUGCGUGCCAGGAAAUACUCUACAUGUUGGAGACAUAUCAAAAAGUCCAUAUAUUCUGGGAAUGCUUUACUAGCACUAUUGCAUUUUAUUAUACAAUCACCUUUGUUAGGAGCUGAAUUGUGUCUCCCUAACCCAUUAAUAUGCUGAAGUCCUAACCCCUACUACCUCAGAAUGUCACUAUACUUGAAAAUAGGAUUUUUGAGGGGGUGAUUAUGGUUAAAUGAGGUCAUAGGAACACCAAUCCAAUAUGACUGGUGUUGUUAUAAGGAGAGGAGAGAUGAGGCCACCGAACACGCAGAGGGAAGACCAUGUAAAGAAGACUCAGAGAGAAGACAGCUGUCUACCAGCUGGGAGGGAGGCCUCAGGAGGAACUAACCUGUGAACACUUUGGUCUUGGCCUUCUAUCUUUCAGAACUGUGAGAAAAUAAAUUUGUUGUUUACACCACCCACU